rfam:Arabidopsis lyrata subsp. lyrata unplaced genomic scaffold ARALYscaffold_8, whole genome shotgun sequence.
UUGGAUGUUCAAAAUUUAAGUUCUGGAUAUCUCUGUUGAUGUAAAAAACACAGGUGAAGAACAACACAGUGAAGAACAAGACGAGUAGAAAAAAGACGUUUCGUAUUUCCUUUGAUGAUGAUGACAU